GAAGAUCCUUGCCUACUGGAGGCCUUCUGAUGAUAAGCAGCUUUUUUUCCCUUUGUUUCUGCAUCUGUGGCUGCUGCAUUUGGGCUUGUUCUCAUUUGCUGUGGCCGAAGACUUUGCCACCCUGCUAUUAUUUCUGUACUAACUGUCACAUUAUAGCAUUACAAAUACCUAAUAUAAGCUGGUUGUUUAAAUUGUCAAUGGGUAAUUAUGUGAAUGUUGCCAAAUCCUAAAAGCAAUACGAAUUGCCCAAGGUAACACUCAUUCUCCCUCCGUGUGUUUCUAAUGAGUCCCUGGGAGGUCUGCUCAAAGGGCCAUUUAAUGAGAUGGUCAAUCUGACUGUUACCUGUGAAGGCGUGUUUGGAUUUGGGAACAAAUGCCUGACAAUGUGUAGAAGUUGGAGAGAUGAGAACUUGCACCAGAACGAUGACUGAAGAAAGCCCAUAUUUAUGUAACGGUGCUUCAAGAGUUAGUAGUUUUCGCAGAGCAAUUGCUUUCUCGGUCCAAUGGAGGUGGCAGAAGGAAGCGAAGCUAAGAUUCAGGUUGUCUUUACCUGGGGAUGAAAUGCUGGGUGGUGCUGCAGUGCUACGCGCUGGAGAACUGGAUGUGUGUGUUUCUGGAAGCUGCUGAUGGAGGGCUGAAGUCCUACCGAUGCAAUACACUUAGUCAUGGCAUUCAGAAUGUGCUGCUGAAGGAAGCGAAGCGCUGUGCCGUGCCUUGUGCGCCCAGGCGCUCGCCGCGGCUGCGCCGGUGAGGGAAAGCGAAGAGCCGCAGUUGGGAAUUGUUAAAUGAGGCUUGCGAUAUUGUUGUCAAACUAUUGAUCAUCUGCGGCUCGACGGGAAGGAGGGGAGCUCUGCUAAAAGCUGACCAAGCUCAGAAAGAGCAGCAGCAAAGCGGUGGGCACGAGGGACGAUUUUUGGGAGCGGAGGCCCGGCCCGCCCGCUGCCGCAGCUGCCGGAGCUCCGCGCCGGGGUCAGAGCUCAGCCCUAAUCCUGUUGCCCCCCCUGCUGGUUAAAAGCCUGUGCUCAUUUUGUUACUUUACACCGAGAUAAACAUCGCAGUCAUUUCACACUCCCUUUAACAUUCGAUAUGAAUUUAAUUAUCAUUUGUCUGGACUUCAUUUGUUUGGAAGGAAAAACAGUUUGUCGUAGAUGCGUGCCUUGCUGGUUUGUUUUUCCGUUAUCAUGUGUGCAAUCCACCAAAGGCUCCGAUGCUUGACGUGCUCCAAGCAUCCGGCUCCCUUCUCCUUUUCAUCUUCUUUUGUGAGAAAGAAAUUAAAAAC
ensembl:lncRNA